rnacentral:lncRNA from 1 species
AAAGAGAUUGUAAAAGUAAAGGUUAACCUAAAUGUGUCUUUGAUGUUUUCGGUUGUGUAGAUUAGAAGUGAAGGAAGAAUGGCAAAAAGGCCAUGGUUAACAGAGCAAAGCCAUUACUCUCCACAAGAGAGGGAGAGGCAGGGCUUCCCCAAGGACCCAAGCUCUUUUCAGGCCAAGGAGAGGGAGAAGAACGACAUGGGAGAUGGGGUAACAGACCGUCCAGAUGAAACCAAACAUCCGGAAGAAUCUUUCUUUGUUACAAAGGAGGUUAAGAUGCAAGGUGAGAUGGCAGAGGGCAACAACAGGAACAACACAGUCAGGAACCUCCUCUAAGUACGUAAGAACACAACAUGAAGACAAUUAAAGGUGGGCCAUCAAUAACUUUUAUUCUCUAACAUAAGAGAGGACAUCAACUGCAGUUUCUGCGGAAAUAAUACAUAAAAGUUGCACAAUUUGCCUCAUUGGUCCGGGAAUUGUUUUCUCCAAUAGUCUGUUCGGAGAAAAAAUAUGUCAAUGAUCCAAUCUACCAAGGAUUUGCGAAAACAACACGAAUAUUAAGCAGUAUUAAGCAGAACAGAAUUAUAGAGAAUAACAUAAACAGAGUGCAACAGAGAGCUCACAGAAAAUAACUUCAGCCUGAAGUUAUUUUCUCAGUGAAUAACUUGAGGCUGAGGUUAUUCUCUCUCUGCCUAUUGUGUGUUUUGUUUCAACAGGCAGCGUCACAGACGACGGGCCGAUCCACAAGCAGGUGGACAGAGAAGAGGUGUCCCUCCUGAGUGGGACGUGUGGCAAAGACAAGACCCCCCGCGGCCAGACGGGGGAGGUCAGCACGUGCAUCGAGGAGGAAUAACCACUUCACUUUUAUCGAAUGUAUCAAGUGGGAUCAUUUUAUCAAUAUUCGAACUGAGCCUAUAUUAAGAACACUAUAUUUAUUGAGUACAACAAUUCUUCCUGUAUUGGAUAGAGAUUAAUGCUCAACGAUUAUUGAAUGGAAUAGUACUCAGCAUUGGGGCGUUGUACAUCGUGAUGUCACAUCACAAUAAGCACCUCCAUUUUCACCGUACUACAACCCUCUUCAUUCCUCUCAAUGGGACAAAGUUUCUUGAACAAAAAUCCAAUGAUGCAUUCCGAUGUAAAAUCCCUGUAGACUAUAAAGCCCAUUCUCCAGUCUUAGUGUGUGUUUACUCUUUCUGUGCUGCAUUUCCAGCGAAUCCAUAAGCUAUCGUUAUUUUCCAUCUGAAGUUAGAAAAGGAAACACUUCAACCCAGUGUUCAACGGCAGGCAUCCCUGUCUAUUAGCACAACACAAGUAAUGACGUGUUUUCAUUCAUUGACAACCAAAUAACACAUCAUUAUGGGCAUGUUUCACCCAUGUGUUGCAGGUCCGCAAACCUCCAUUGCCAACUUCUCUUUUGCUGUGGCUUUAUGUCAUGCCCUUGUCGUAAAGCAGACCGAACUACCCAAUAAAAACAUGUUCCAUGAAGUCGUUUGAGUGCAAACCUCUAACUCUGUGGUCUCGCCUGUGUAAUUAAGCAAGGAAGCCUUUCCUAUUGACACCUCUGGUUUCCACACUGUGUUCCCUCCCUGGCCUUUGACUUCACGGCUCUCGUUCCCACAUGAUUGUAAUUAUGGAUCCACUGCGUGGACGACAGAUGUGGAAUGCUCCUCUUAGCCCAGGUGGUAUAAAUCAAUGUGUAUUCUGAACGCAAACCCAGCCUUUCAACAUCAUGGCAUCUGUGAAUGACGCUUUGAAUAUGAAAUACUUUAUUGCGUGUUGGGGCCUCCUAAGGUAGAAGUGAAUAACAAGUUGGCUGCAUUAUCUCCGUCUUUUGUUAUGCAUGAAGAAAACAAUAGCUCUUCCUUCACAGGAAUAAUAAAGUGUUAUCUUAUCUGAAGAGUAGUCUUUUGUAUAUGAAAGCAUCAGAGAAGGGGUACAUGACUGGUCAUUUGUUUUUACAGAAGAGAUGAAAGAAACACAGACAAUGUAUUCAUGGAACCUUUUCAUAUAAUUCUAUGUUAAUCUAAAUCAAUGUAUGAUUUCCUAUUCAAUAUUGUCUUGAAGAAUAACCUGACAGUAAAUUCAGUGCUCUGGUUCAUUCAGUUUGCG